UCCUACGGGAGGCAGCAGUGGAGAAUAUUGCACAAUGGGCGAAAGCCUGACGCAGCGACGCCGCAUGAAGGAUGAAGGCCCUCUGGGUCGUAAACUUCUUUGGCAGGGGAAUAACAGGUCUCUAUACGAGGCACUGAAUGUACCCUGAGAACAAGCAUCGGCUAACUAUGUGCCAGCAGCCGCGGUAAUAC
rnacentral:rRNA from 1 species